GGGCCGGGACAAAGCCUGGGCCGGGCCUGCGCUUCCGUUCGCUUGACUGGCUGCGCUUGUUUUCAGGGUUUUGGUCUGAAAACGGAUCUUACCUGCGCAGAGCAAAAUCGGUUGUAGAUUAUAUCCACGAAAAUUCCUUCUAUUAAAAUGAAUUUCAAGUCCCACCUACCCUGGAAGCAGAAAGAGAGAGAAGAGAGAGAGUAAAGAGAAAGAGAAAAGAAAGAGAAGUUGAAAAAGAGAAAGAAAACCAAGAAAGAAAGAGAAAAAAACCGAAAAUAAAUGGACAAGAAAGAAAAGCCAACGUGCCAUGCAUCCCUGGAGCAUGAAACCCAGGAUGGGCCGCCUUCCAGCCUCCCACAGCUGUGAUGCAAGUUGAACACAUACAGAGAGACUGCAUCUGCACUGGGUGGUUUUCCUGAGCCUUGGGGAGCAGAAUGCAUGAAUCCCAGGUAUCUGCCGAUCUGUAUGUAACAAAUUCACUUCAUGUAACUUACUGUGUGUCCGUGAGAUUAUCUCUCACUCAACUCAGACACAUUGGCAACCAGUGUGCAGUGAACCUGCUUCACAAGCAAGGAUGUGGAGAAACUAUUUUCGUACAUUUUGUGGGAAUCUGAAAUACUGCGGUCAGUAUGGAAAGCAGUAUCAUGGGAAACUUCCUCAACUCAAGAUCACCUACCAAUCCUUACAGAAUCAGAAUCAUCAUACAAACUGGUGAAAGCAUAGUUUCCCCUAGAGGUUGGGAUGAGGGCAAGAAUGUCCCCUCUUAUCACUACUAUUCCACACAAUAUGAAAGGUUCCAGCCAGUGAAAUAAAGGAAAAAGAAAUAAAAGUGACAGGCUGGGUGUGGUGUCUGAGGCCUGUAAUCACAGUGCUUUGGGAGGCUGAGGAAGGAGGGUGGCCUGAGGACAGGACAAAAAAAAUAGUGUACCAACAGAAAAUAUGUUGGUUGUGCAGGCUAAUACCUUUCCCAAAGGAAGGUAGCUACAUCCCUAUGACCUGUGUUACUGGAUAUAUCAAAAGGGAGUUUGCAAAUGUGGUCUAGAUAAGGAUCUUUAGAUAGACAUCCUGAAUUAUAUGGUCAAAGUGAUAGAAUCACAAGGUUCAAUAUCAGAAGGGUGCAGGUGGAUGCGAAGGGACAGAGACAGUGGUGAUGUGUUGAAAAUAGAGGGAUAAAGAGAUUUUUUUUCUCACCUUUAAAGAUGGAGGAAGUGGACCAUGAGUCAAAGGAUGUAAGUGGCCUCUGGAACCUACAAAGGGUAAGGAAACAAAUUCUCCCCUGGAGAUUAAUGAAGAAUCACAGAACUAUGGACCCAUAUUAGAUAUGUGACUUACAGAAUUAUAAAAGAAUAAAUUUUUCUUGUUUUAAGCCAAUCACUGUGUAUAGCAAUAGGAAACUGAUGAAAUGAUUUUAUGUAGAAAAUUCCAAAAAAAUCUACAAAAAUCUCUAGAACAAGAAAAAUGUAAAGGUAGCAAAGUAUAAGGUCAACCUACAAAAAUAUCGUAUAUUUCAUCAGCCAGGCAUGGUGGCUCGUGCCUGUAAUCCCAGCACUUUGGGAGGCCAAGGCAGGCAGAUCACUCAAGCUCAGGAGUUUGAGACCAGGCUGGGUAACAUGGUGAAACCCCAUCUCUACAAAACACAAAAAUUUAACAGGCCAUGGUGGCACAUGCCUGCAGUGCCAGCUACUGGGGAAGCUGAGGUGGGAGGAUGACUUAAGCCUGC
rnacentral:lncRNA from 10 species